UGCCAUGAACCCACACAAGGUCAGCCUGGAAUUUGUGAGGGACAUAGAAAAAGUCAGUGCCUUCUUCAACAAGCUAUGUGACCAGAAGCUUGCCGACCAGACUAUUUUCAACUACCUGAAGAACGUACACAAAAUCAUGAGAUACAAUAUGAGAGCAACCAAUCUCUCUGACAAAAUGCCGAAGCUCUAAGUCCUGCGAAUCCUUCAGGACCGUUGCAGAAGAUAUACAGAAGAGAUUAUCCAAAGGAAUUUCGAAAGAAGUUGUCAGUAAAAGGUACCUGACACUGAAAAUUAAUAUGAAGACGCCAUACUGAAUGUAUGAAGCUCCUGGAUGUAGGAAAACCUUUCUUCUUACUUCUUAGAUGAAAUCAAGGCUGCCCAAGGACGAAUCCUAAAAAACACAUUCAAAACUUGAAAUCAUUUAUUAUCUUGAGGCCCUGCUGGUCCUCAAACAUUUACAGAGGCCAGGUGUAGUGGCAAAUAUGUCUGUAAGUAACGUUCUCCUUAGACAGAUAGAUCUUUUUGUAUCACUUACCAAAAUUACGAAAACUACAAAAUUUCUCUCUCUUAACCCAUAGGUUUCUGAGUGGAAAGACAGGAUCCAACACACCUAUAAAGAUACUGCGAGGUUUAUCAUUGGUGUUCGAAAUCACAAGACCGCUACGUAACAAGUUACUUCGUUUGUGCUAACUGAGGAGGAAUAAAUGUGGUUUAAAGUUUACUUUACGAAAGUUGCACCAACUCUGAUUAAAAGAGACACACC